rnacentral:rRNA from 1 species
AUUGAACGCUGGCGGCAGGCCUAACACAUGCACGUCGAACGAGUGGCGGACGGGUGGGUAAUGUCUGGGAAACUGCCUGAUGGAGGGGGAUAACUACUGGAAACGGUAGCUAAUACCGCAUACCAUCGGAUGUGCCCAGAUGGGAUUAGAUAGUAGGUGGGGUAACGGCUCACCUAGGCGACGAUCCCUAGCUGGUCUGAGAGGAUGACCAGCCACACUGGAACUGAGACACGGUCCAGACUCCUACGGGAGGCAGCAGUGGGGAAUCUUGCACAAUGGGCGAAAGCCUGAUGCAGCCAUGCCGCGUGUAUGAAGAAGGUCUUCGGGUGGUAAAGUACUGUCAGCGGGGAGGCGUUACCCGCAGAAGAAGCACCGGCUAACUCCGUGCCAGCAGCCGCGGUAAUAC